UAGGGAAUCUUCGGCAAUGGACGAAAGUCUGACCGAGCAACGCCGCGUGAGUGAAGAAGGUUUUCGGAUCGUAAAACUCUGUUGUUAGAGAAGAACAAGGACGUUAGUAACUGAACGUCCCCUGACGGUAUCUAACCAGAAAGCCACGGCUAACUACGUGCCAGCAGCCGCGGUAAUACGUAGGUGGCAAGCGUUGUCCGGAUUUAUUGGGCGUAAAGCGAGCGCAGGCGGUUUCUUAAGUCUGAUGUGAAAGCCCCCGGCUCAACCGGGGAGGGUCAUUGGAAACUGAGAGACUUGAGUGCAGAAGAGGAGAGUGGAAUUCCAUGUGUAGCGGUGAAAUGCGUAGAUAUAUGGAGGAACACCAGUGGCGAAGGCGGCUCUCUGGUCUGUAACUGACGCUGAGGCUCGAAAGCGUGGGGAGCAAACAGG
rnacentral:rRNA from 2 species